AACACCAGUGUAAUAGGCGGCUCUCUGGGCCGAGUCUGACGCUCAGAUCAAUAGUAUAGGAGAGCGAACAGGAUUAGAGACCGUGUUAGUCUUAGCUCUAAGCGAUGGAUGCUAGGUGUGACACGCGAUGAGUUUCCGUGCCGGAGCAAACGAAGAUAAGCAUUCAACCCAGGACUACGGCCGCAAGGUUAAAACUCAAACGAAUUGACGGGGGCCGCCACAAGCAGCGGAGCGUGUGGUUUAAUUCGAUAAUACACGAAGAACCUUACUUGGGUUUGACAUGUAGGUGGUAGUGAGGCGAAAGUUGUGCUACCGUUCGGUGAGCCUUCACAGGUGAGGCAUGGUUGUUGUCAGAUAAAGCAAUGAGGUGUCGGGUUAAGUCCUCUAACGAGCGCAACCCUUGCUCCUAGUUAUACGUGUCCAGGGGGACAGCCGGCGGGAAGCCGGAGGAAGGUGGGGAUGACGUCAAGUCAGCAUGGCCGUUAUGUCCAGGUCUACACACACGCUACAAUGGCCAGUACAAAGGGUAGGGAAGCCGCGAGGUGGAGCGAAUAUCAGCAAAGCUGGUAGUAGUUCGGAUUGCAGGUUGCAACCCGCACGCAUGAAGCUGGAGUUUAUUGUAGACGCGUGUCAGCUAUAGUGCGGUGAAUACGUUCCCGGGCCUUGUACACACCGCCCGUCACGUCAUGGGAGUCGGUAACGCCUGAAGGCGGUAGCUUGACCUGAUAAAGGGGAGCCCUGUCGAGGGCGGGACGGGC
rnacentral:rRNA from 1 species